ensembl:lncRNA
AUCCACAGAUGCUGAUAUCCAGUACAGGCUGGUGUCUCGCUUUGUUAAUGAAGCAGUGCUGUGCCUUCAGGAGGGGAUCCUGACUAGCCCAGUAGAGGGCGACAUUGGAGCAGUGUUCGGAUUGGGUUUCCCUCCCUGUUUGGGUGGUCCGUUCAGGUAUGUGGAUUCGUUCGGGGCGGAUAAUCUUGUGCGUAUCAUGAGGAGAUUUGAAGAAGUUUAUGGAAACCAGUUCACACCCUGUCAGCUGCUCCUGGACCACGCCAAGGAUCCCAGCAUGAAGUUCCACCACUGAUUCAAAAAUGCUGAAAUAUGGACAAGUUAGUGAGAAGGGUCUGUGUUUUUGUUAGUGGAGAGCAUAACUGUUUUGACAUUUUUUUAAUUUUGUAAUUUUACAGUAUUCUACAAAAAUAGAUCUCAGUCAAGCCAAAUAGCAUUUUCUUUAACAACUCCAUAGUGAUAGAAUAAAGAAUAACUGCCUUGUUUUUUUCCAUUGGUGCAACCAUAACUAUUUUUCUGUUUCAUAGGAUUGUUUGAGUUUACAUUAAUAUGCCGUUUUCAUUAAUGUAUAUUUUAUUUCAUGGCCAAGAUAAAUAUAAUUGUAUAUUGUCUUACUAUUUUUUAGGCAUAUUACACUGACCAGCCUUACUCUUACUCUUUAUUCUAUAAGCAGUAAGUUUCAAGUUUCAAAGGAAGGAAUACAUGAGCUCAAGUAUUGUAAUAAGAUUGUAACAACUUUCUAUUUAUUUUGGUAUUUUUCUUUACUGAUUUGCCAUCUUGGUGGAGUACAAAAACUACUGGCAUAAGUUAUAUUCAGGGAUUUUGUCUAUGUCAUAUCUAUGUAAAAAUAUUGGGCUGUUGGACUGUAUUUAAUAAUAGGGCUGUCAUAGAUUCCACAAAUAUUCAUGGUAUGCCGGCUUGUAUGAAAUGUGAAAUCCGGUAUAACGCCAGUGAAAGAGUCUGUGAUGUUCUCCAAAAGUAUUCCUCUUUAUUGGACAGAAGUAUUUUAUCACAUGCAUCAUUAGUAACACUACAGUUCUCUAUCUGUACCAUCUCUCCUGGGUCUAUAAAGUGCAGGGCAUGUUGCAGUGUUUCAAUACUGUGCUUAGAAAACCUAAAAAUUUUAUUUUUAAAGCAACACAACAUAUCUAUUAAAGGACUUACAAU